rnacentral:rRNA from 1 species
UAAUUAAAUACUAAGGUAUAGAAAUUUAAUUUUGUUUAAUAUAUAAAAACAUUUUAAAAAUCAGUAAAGGUGAUUAAAGUUUAUUUUAUAUACCCUAGAAAAAGUACUGUAAAGGAAUACGAUGAAUUGGAUAGAAGAAAAAAUUAAAGUUUGUACCUUUUGCAUCAUGGUUUAACUAGAUAUUAUUUUGUAUUUAAAUUUCUCGAAAUCUAAUGAGCUAUUUUUGUUCGCUAUACUAGAAGAAUAAGGAUUAAUUGUAGCAAAAAUUUUCCUAGAAGCAAAAAUAGAAAUGAAAUUUUAUUCGUAUUAGAUGAUAGCUAGUUCUUCUAAAAGGCAUAUAAGUGCUUCUGAUUAAUUUUAUUUUUAUAAUAAUAAAAUAAGAUAUACUUUAAUUUGGUUAGAUAUUUGAGGAUAAGCUCGAAAAUUAUAAACUAUAUUUGCAUAUUAUUUUGAUUAAAAUUUAGGCUUGAAAAUAGCCAUAAUUCUGACUUUGUUAUAAUUUCAUUAAAUAUAUAAAAAAAUAAUUGAUUUGCUUAUGUAUAAAAGAAGAAAACUUUAAAAUCAAAUUAAGUUGAACCUAUGUUAAAAUGAGUAUUGAUAAAUCUAUAAAGAUUCAAUAACAUGUAUAUAUUGAAACUAAUGUCUUUAUAUCAAUUUUAAAUCAUAAAAAGGAAUUCGGCAAAUACACACUCUGCCUGUUUAGCAAAAACAUGGCUCCUUGUUGAAGGUAUAUAAGGAGUCGGACCUGCCCAGUGAAUAUUUUAACGGCCGCGGUACUUUGACCGUGCAAAGGUAGCAUAAUCAUUUGCCUUAUAAUUGAAGGCUAGUAUGAAUGGUUUGACAAGAGUGUAGCUGUCUCUUUGUGAUUAAAUAGAAUUUUACAUGUAGGUGAAGAGGCCUAUAUAAUAUUAAAAGACAAGAAGACCCUAUCGAGCUUUAAGAAAGUUAAUAGGCGAAUUAAUCAAUACUAUUAAAAGAUUAAUAUUAAAAAUUUUAGUUGGGGCGACUAAGGAACAGAANAAGCUUCCUUUAAUGAUAUGAAUCAUACAAGUGUUGAUCCAAAAUAUUUUGAUUAAAGAAAUUAGUUACCGUAGGGAUAACAGCAUUAUCUUUUUUAAGAGUUCUUAUCGAAAAAAAGGUUUGUGACCUCGAUGUUGGACCNGAAUGUCCUAAAGGUGCAGCAGCCUUUAAGGGUUGGUCUGUUCGACCCUUAAAAUUCUACGUGAUCUGAGUUCAGGACCGGCGUGAGCCAGGNCAGUUUCUAUCUUUA